rnacentral:rRNA from 1 species
AAUAUUGGACAAUGGGCGAAAGCCUGCUCCAGCCAUGCCGCGUGCGUGAAGAAGGUCUUCGGAUUGUAAAGCACUUUAAGUUGGGAGGAAGAGUUGUAGGCUAAUACCUUGCAAUGUUGACGUUACCAACUGAAUAAGCACCGGCUAACUUCGUGCCAGCAGCCGCGGUAAUACGAAGGGUGCAAGCGUUAAUCGGAAUUACUGGGCGUAAAGCGCGCGUAGGUGGGUAGUUAAGUUGGAAGUGAAAGCCCCGGGCUUAACCUGGGAAUUGCUUUCAAAAAUGACGAGCUAGAGUACGGUAGAGGGUAGUGGAAUUUCCUGUGUAGCGGUGAAAUGCGUAGAUAUAGGAAGGAACACCAGUGGCGAAGGCGACUACCUGGACUGAUACUGACACUGAGGUGCGAAAGCGUGGGGAGCAAACAGG